GACAGAGGGUGCAAACGUUGCUCGGAAUCACUGGGCGUAAAGGGCGUGUAGGCGGGAGAGAAAGUCGGGCGUGAAAUCCCUGGGCUCAACCCAGGAACUGCACUCGAAACUUCUUCUCUUGAGUGCCGGAGAGGAAAGCGGAAUACCUGGUGUAGAGGUGAAAUUCGUAGAUAUCAGGUGGAACACCAGUGGCGAAGGCGGCUUUCUGGACGGUAACUGACGCUGAGACGCGAAAGCGUGGGGAGCAAAAGGG
rnacentral:rRNA from 1 species